CAAAAGCGUAUAUUAAAGUUGUUGCAGUUAAAAAGCUCGUAGUUGAACCUUGGGCUUGGCUGGCCGGUCCAUCUUUUUUGAUGCGUACUGGACCCAGCCGAGCCUUUCCUUCUGGCUAGCCUUUUGGCGAACCAGGACUUUUACUUUGAAAAAAUUAGAGUGUUCAAAGCAGGCCUUUGCUCGAAUAUAUUAGCAUGGAAUAAUAGAAUAGGACGUUAUGGUUCUAUUUUGUUGGUUUCUAGGACCAUCGUAAUGAUUAAUAGGGACGGCCGGGGGUAUCAGUAUUCAGUUGUCAGAGGUGAAAUUCUUGGAUUUACUGAAGACUAACUACUGCGAAAGCAUUUACCAAGGACGUUUUCAUUAA
rnacentral:rRNA from 1 species